rnacentral:rRNA from 1 species
UAGGGAAUAUUGGUUAAUGUGCGAAAGCGCGAACCAGCAACGCAGCGUGUGCGAUGAAGGCCUUCGGGUCGUAAAGCACUUUUUGCAGGGAAGAGGAAGGACGGUACCUGCAGAAUAAGUCUAGGCUAACUACGUGCCAGCAGCCGCGGUAAAACGUAGGAGACGAGCGCUAUCCGGAUUUACUGGGCGUAAAGCGCGUGCAGGCGGAAUGGCAAGUUGGAUGGGAAAGCUCGCGGCUUAACUGGGAGAGGUAGGUCAAUACUGCCAGGCUUGAGAGUAGUAGAGGGAAGCGGAAUUCCGGGUGUAGGGGUGAUGUGCGUAGAUAUCCGGAGGAACACCAGUGGAGAAAGCGUCUUCCUGGCCCAUUUCUGAC